rnacentral:rRNA from 1 species
UACAGAGGGAGCUAGCGUUGUUCGGAAUUACUGGGCGUAAAGGGCGCGUAGGCGGUUUUUCAAGUCAGAUGUGAAAUACCUGGGCUUAACCUAGGAACGGCAUUUGAAACUGGAAGACUAGAGUUCAGAAGAGGAAAGUGGAAUUCCUGGUGUAGAGGUGAAAUUCGUAGAUAUUAGGAGGAACACCAGUGGCGAAGGCGGCUUUCUGGUCUGACACUGACGCUGAGGCGCGAAAGCGUGGGGAGCGAACAGG